rnacentral:lncRNA from 1 species
GGCAAAUGAAGAAAUGCUGGAAGACAAUGGACUUCUCGAGAAGUAAGUAAAAUAUUCACAUAUUGUGGUGUGCUCUUUCUGUAUACAGUCUUUUUUAAGUCUGACAAAUAUGUUUUAUUGUACAAUUAGUCAGAUAAUUAGCCUGUCAUAAUAAUCACAAAAGAUCAAAUGGAAAAUCUAUAUGUGUAAAACUGGUUCACCGAAUUAUACAUUCAUGAUAUGUUCCUAACUCUUAGUUAGUUCUAGGUGUAUAGCUCUUCCAUGGAAAUACAGAUGAGUCGGAUUUUAUUAUUAAGCUAACACGCAUGCUAAAUCACACUCUUGUAAUGUUUUAACCUGUGAAAUUUGAUAGAUAUAGGCCAGUCAGAAUGUAUGGUAAUCGAUGUGUAUAGUCUUUCUAAUUGAACAUCAAAUACUGUAAAAACAAAAGUCUUGUAUUAUGAAUAUUAUGAUUUGUUGAAUCAAAAGGUUAAAUAGUCGCCCCUUAUUCAAGUGAUUUACUCCGAAUGGUUAGGCUUUAAAAUUUACAAUAAAAACAAUGUAUGCUACUUAAUGUUUUGUAACAAUAUACAUUUUUAUUGGUGUCCUGUUUUAGGCUUGUCAAAAGAAGUGUAGGGUGCAUCGGAAGAUCUUGCAGUGUUUUCCAUCCGUGCUGCUUCAGACACAAAUGUUCGUACGGACAAUGCACCUACGGAUACGGCAAGUGAGCUCCAGCAUGCAAUACUUACAAGUACUAGAAAUCCCGAAGCAACAUACUUACGAAAAUGAUGUUACUUUAA